CCCUUAGAUGUUCUGGGCCGCACGCGCGCUACACUGAUGCAUUCAACGAGCCUAUCCUUGACCGACAGGUCCGGGUAAUCUUUGAAUCUGCAUCGUGACGGGGAUAGAUUAUUGCAAUUAUUAAUCUUCAACGAGGAAUGCCUAGUAGGCGCGAGUCAUCAGCUUGCGUCGAUUACGUCCCUGCCCUUUGUACACACCGCCCGUCGCUCCUACCGAUUGGGUGUGCUGGUGAAAUGUUCGGAUCGGCCGUUUGUCGCGGUUUCCGCGGCUCGUGGCUGAGAAGUUCAUUAAACCCUCCCACCUAGAGGAAGGAGAAGUCGUAACA
rnacentral:rRNA from 1 species